GCCCCAGUGGCACAAUGGUUAAGUGCUUGGCUACUAAUCAAAGGGUUGGUGGUUCAAACCCACUCAGCAGUU
rnacentral:tRNA from 1 species